AGUGGGAGCACCCUUUGGGGUGUGACUGCGUACCUUUUGUAUAAUGGGUCAGCGACUUAUAUUCUGUAGCAAGGUUAACCGAAUAGGGGAGCCGGAGGGAAACCGAGUCUUAAUUGGGCGUUAAGUUGCAGGGUAUAGACCCGAAACCCGGUGAUCUAGCCAUGGGCAGGUUGAAGGUUGGGUAACACUAACUGGAGGACCGAACCGACUAAUGUUGAAAAAUUAGCGGAUGACCUGUGGCUGGGGGUGAAAGGCCAAUCAAACCGGGAGAUAGCUGGUUCUCCCCGAAAGCUAUUUAGGUAGCGCCUCGUGAAUUCAUCUCCGGGGGUAGAGCACUGUUUCGGCUAGGGGGCCAUCCCGGCUUACCAACCCGAUGCAAACUGCGAAUACCGGAGAAUGUUAUCACGGGAGACACACGGCGGGUGCUAACGUCCGUCGUGAAGAGGGAAACAACCCAGACCGCCAGCUAAGGUCCCAAAGUCAUGGUUAAGUGGGAAACGAUGUGGGAAGGCCCAGACAGCCAGGAUGUUGGCUUAGAAGCAGCCAUCAUUUAAAGAAAGCGUAAUAGCUCACUGGUCGAGUCGGCCUGCGCGGAAGAUGUAACGGGGCUAAACCAUGCACCGAAGCUGCGGCAGCGACACUCAGGUGUUGUUGGGUAGGGGAGCGUUCUGUAAGCCUGCGAAGGUGGCCUGUGAGGGUUGCUGGAGGUAUCAGAAGUGCGAAUGCUGACAUAAGUAACGAUAAAGCGGGUGAAAAGCCCGCUCGCCGGAAGACCAAGGGUUCCUGUCCAACGUUAAUCGGGGCAGGGUGAGUCGACCCCUAAGGCGAGGCCGAAAGGCGUAGUCGAUGGGAAACGGGUUAAUAUUCCCGUACUUGGUGUUACUGCGAAGGGGGGACGGAGAAGGCUAUGUUGGCCGGGCGACGGUUGUCCCGGUUUAAGCGUGUAGGUGUGUGUUCCAGGUAAAUCCGGUUCACUUUAACACUGAGGCGUGAUGACGAGGCACUACGGUGCUGAAGCAACAAAUGCCCUGCUUCCAGGAAAAGCCUCUAAGCAUCAGGUAACAUCAAAUCGUACCCCAAACCGACACAGGUGGUCAGGUAGAGAAUACCAAGGCGCUUGAGAGAACUCGGGUGAAGGAACUAGGCAAAAUGGUGCCGUAACUUCGGGAGAAGGCACGCUGACACGUAGGUGAAGUGAUUUACUCAUGGAGCUGAAGUCAGUCGAAGAUACCAGCUGGCUGCAACUGUUUAUUAAAAACACAGCACUGUGCAAACACGAAAGUGGACGUAUACGGUGUGACGCCUGCCCGGUGCCGGAAGGUUAAUUGAUGGGGUCAGCGCAAGCGAAGCUCCUGAUCGAAGCCCCGGUAAACGGCGGCCGUAACUAUAACGGUCCUAAGGUAGCGAAAUUCCUUGUCGGGUAAGUUCCGACCUGCACGAAUGGCGUAAUGAUGGCCAGGCUGUCUCCACCCGAGACUCAGUGAAAUUGAACUCGCUGUGAAGAUGCAGUGUACCCGCGGCAAGACGGAAAGACCCCGUGAACCUUUACUAUAGCUUGACACUGAACAUUGAGCCUUGAUGUGUAGGAUAGGUGGGAGGCUUUGAAGUGUGGACGCCAGUCUGCAUGGAGCCGACCUUGAAAUACCACCCUUUAAUGUUUGAUGUUCUAACGUGGACCCGUAAUCCGGGUUGCGGACAGUGUCUGGUGGGUAGUUUGACUGGGGCGGUCUCCUCCUAAAGAGUAACGGAGGAGCACGAAGGUUGGCUAAUCCUGGUCGGACAUCAGGAGGUUAGUGCAAUGGCAUAAGCCAGCUUGACUGCGAGCGUGACGGCGCGAGCAGGUGCGAAAGCAGGUCAUAGUGAUCCGGUGGUUCUGAAUGGAAGGGCCAUCGCUCAACGGAUAAAAGGUACUCCGGGGAUAACAGGCUGAUACCGCCCAAGAGUUCAUAUCGACGGCGGUGUUUGGCACCUCGAUGUCGGCUCAUCACAUCCUGGGGCUGAAGUAGGUCCCAAGGGUAUGGCUGUUCGCCAUUUAAAGUGGUACGCGAGCUGGGUUUAGAACGUCGUGAGACAGUUCGGUCCCUAUCUGCCGUGGGCGCUGGAGAACUGAGGGGGGCUGCUCCUAGUACGAGAGGACCGGAGUGGACGCAUCACUGGUGUUCGGGUUGUCAUGCCAAUGGCACUGCCCGGUAGCUAAAUGCGGAAGAGAUAAGUGCUGAAAGCAUCUAAGCACGAAACUUGCCCCGA
rnacentral:rRNA from 1 species